UAAUUGGGGCUUGCUCCAAUUAGUUAGUGGCAGACGGGUGAGUAACACGUGGGAAUCUGCCCAUCAGUACGGAAUAACUUUUAGAAAUAAAAGCUAAUACCGUAUAUUCUCUACGGAGGAAAGAUUUAUCGCUGAUGGAUGAGCCCGCGUCAGAUUAGGUAGUUGGUGAGGUAACGGCUCACUAAGCCGACGAUCUGUAGCUGGUCUGAGAGGAUGAUCAGCCACACUGGGACUGAGACACGGCCCAGACUCCUACGGGAGGCAGCAGUGGGGAAUAUUGGACAAUGGGCGAAAGCCUGAUCCAGCAAUACCGAGUGAGUGAUGAAGGCCUUAGGGUUGUAAAGCUCUUUUAGCAAGGAAGAUAAUGACGUU
rnacentral:rRNA from 1 species